rnacentral:lncRNA from 1 species
UGCUUUGCUCCUGUGGCUAAGCCUGCAAACAUAUUAAAAGCUUUUCUGGGUGAUUUGUCAGUGGAUUUAGUUAAAGAGUUUAUAGCCUGACCCUGAGAAUCGGUCUGUGCUUUAAAGCAACACUGACACCACGUGUUUGAAUUUUUAGGACUAAAAGGAAAGUAAGACCACGAAUGGAGGAGCAAGGAGAGAUCCCAAACAUAGCAGCUCUCAUUAUGAGGGUGCACUCAUUUCACCCACUGAGGCUCUGAAAGGGUCAGCGCUGAUGAGCUGGUCUGGCCUCUGCCUGCUCUACCCAAAAGUGAAUGUAGGUGUCUGUAAUUCUUGGAGUUCUUUGAGGUAGAAAAGAUUAUUCAGGGACUAUUUUGAUUUUAAAAAUUAAUAUUCAACUUAUUGAAGCUAGUUCUUAAGUUUUUAAAGUUCAGCUUCUAAAUCUUAUUACUUUAUUUAUUAGGAAGGUGCAUGCUCAACAUGCACUUAGUUUAGUAUUUGGGAAAGUCUGUCAAUCAGAAAUGAAAAUAUUCAAAAAGAAACCUGAGUAUAAAAAAUGGGAAAAGUAUACUUACAAUAUUUAUGGGGGCUAAUUAAAUAUGCUAUGGGAUCCCCUCAAAUAUUGACAUUUCCCUUACAAAUUUAUUAUAUUCAGAUUUUUUCAAGGGUAUCUGACUGAGAAGCUUCCCCAAAUACUUAGAUAACUUUAAAAAAAUCAUAUAAAAUAAACGUAAAAAUAAAGCAGCGUAUUAAGUUGCUGAAAUGACCACAUAUUGUUUUCAAAUUUUAAAAACUUAUCCUUUCAAUUUAAUAUCAUAAAUGUAAAUAACUAAAAAACAUGUAACUUUAGAAUCAUAAGACUCAUAAGACUCCCAGAGCACUUUGGGAGGCUGAGGUGGGCGGAUCACCUGAGGUCAGGAGUUCAAGAUCAGCCUGGCCAACAUGGUGAAACCCCGUCUCUACUAAAAAUACAAAAAUUAGCCAGGCGUGGUGGCGUGUGCCUGUAAUCCCAGCUACUUGGGAGCCUGAGACAAGAGAACUGCUUAAACCUGGGAGGCAGAGGUUGCAAUGAGCCGAGAUCGCACCGCUGCCCUCCAGUCUGGGCAACAGAGUGAGGAUCCAUCUCAUAAACAAACAAACAAACAAACAAUUAAACAAAAGCAGUGCACUCCAUUAGGCAAUAAGUGGUCUAUCCAACAUUGAGAGGAGGUGCUGCCCUCCCUCUGCCUUAAUUCUAAGUUUUGACUAAUUUUUCCUAAAAUUGUUAUCAAAAACAUUGGUGAUGCAGCAUUUUAAAAAUAAUGCAUUGAGAAACCAAAACUUCUGGUUCUGGCUCUUAAACUGGCAGAACAAUGAUGGAAAAUCAGCGAACUUUUGUCUUUCCCUUCAGAAAUGUUGCUGAGCACAUCUGGUUCAUCCCUUCCCUGGCCUCCUCCUCACAGCCGUUUGGUUCCUACGGCCUAAAAGUGUGUUGUGUAAUUACUGCUAGGACUUUCUAUCUAGUCACUGUAAGGUUUGCUGCUGGCACUUUUACUUGGAUUUUUAAUUUGGAUUUGCAUUUCUUUGACUUGCUUGAGUACCAGUGCCAACUAAAUUAUAAUACAAUGGUUUCGUAUUACUUAGAGUUUUUAUUUUAACUUUGCUUAAAGUCUCUUUUGGACUUAAUUAGAUUCUUAAUUAUAUAAUCAUUUUUAUAAUCAUGUUAGCAUUUCUGGGCAGUCACAACUGUCUCAUGACAGUUAGUUGACAAAUAUUGAUUGUAGGGGGCUGCUGAUUUUAAGAUGUCCUCAAUUUCAUAGAUGCCAAAUUGCGGGUUGGUGGGGAACAUGUCUCAGAUUUGAUGAAACAUGGGGCAUCACAGAAUAUCUGAAAGAUUAAAUUGAGAGUCUAGCAUACAGAACACUCAUAGCAUCUAUUUUUUGGUUCUUCAUAAAUGUUAAUUCCCCUUUCCUUCUCCCAAUACUCAACUUUAGGUGACUUGACUAACGUACAUCUUCCUCCUGCAAAAAGCAAUGCAGAGUAUUGGGGAAUAGUCAACAAUUGUAAAGGUUCCCCAACUGCCAGCUUCUACAGACCUUGGUUCUUCCCUUAUUCUUACCUGUGUGGGUGUCUAUCUGACACGGCUGGAGGAGGGUCUGAGGUCUACCUGCUGCCAUGAAGUCAUGAACAUGUGAAUCAGAAUGCUAUUAGGUUUAGGUAUAAUAUUGCUUCUACUGACGCCCUAACCUACAGAGUAACGCUUGACACAAUCUUAUUUUUUGGGGGAUGUAUUUCUUUUUAAAGAAAUGUGUAUAAAUGUAUGGUGUACAAGUGCCAUUUUGUUACAUGCGUAGAUUGCCUAGUGGCCAAGUCAGGGCUUUAGGGUACCCAUCACCCAAAUAAUGUACGUUGCAUCCAUUAGGCAAUUUCUUGUUAUCUACCCUUCUCGUGCCCCCUGACACUUCUGAGGACCUAUUGCCUAUCAUUCCACUCUCUACAUACAUGUGGACACAAUUUUCAGCACCCACUUAUGAAUGAAAACAUGAGUUGUUUGACUUUCUGUCUGGCUUGUUUCACUUAAGAUAAUGACCACCAGUUUCACCCAUGUUGCUGCAAAAGACAUGAAGUCAUUCUUUUGAUGGCCAGAUAGUAUUCUAUUGUGUAAAUAACACAUUUUCUUUAUCCAGGGGAUUUUCUUCUUCCAUUGAUGGACAUUUAGGUUGGUUCUAUAGCUUUACUAUUGUGACUAGUGCUACAAUAAAUAUAUGAGUGAAGGUAUCUUUUUGAUAAAUUGAUUGUUUUCCUUUUGCACAGAUACCCAAUAGUGCAGUUGCUGGGUCAAAUGGUAGCUCUAUUUUUAGUCUGAAAAAUCUCCAUACUGUUUUCCAUGGAGGUUGCACUAAUUUAUAUUCCCACCAACAGCGAAUGAGUUCUUUUUUCUCUACAUCCUUGCCAACAUCUGUGAUUUUCUGUCUUUUUAAUAAUAGCCAUUCUGGCAGGGUAAGAUGCUAUCUCAUUGUGGUUUGGAUUUGCAUUUCUCUGAUGAUUAGCGAUGUUGAGCAUCUUUUCAUAUACGUGUAGGACAUCUGUAUGUCAUCUUUUGAAAAAGGUCUAUUCCUUUUUUUUUCUUUUUUGCAUACUUUUAAAAGUACAUUAAGAGGGGAUUAUUUGUCUUUGUUGUUGUGUUUGAGCUCCUUGUAUCGUCUGGAUAGUAGUUCCCUGUUGGAUGAAUAGUUUGCAAAUAUUAUCUCCCAUCCUGUUGGUUGUCUGCUCACUCUGUUGAUUAUUUCUUUUGCUGUGCAGAAGCUCUUUAAUUUAACAAGUCCCAUUUGCCUGUUUUCGGUUUUGUUGCCUGUGCUUUUGAGCUUGCAGUCCACAAUGUCAUUUCGUGUGAAAUAGUACCGGGGAGAGCUUUCCAACCUUCUCCAUGUCAAGGCACAUACAAGAAAUGACACAUUAGUCCAGCCACAGGGGUCAGCGUGGAGGCUCCGGGAGACCCAUCCUCCUACCUAGGCCGCAGGAGGACGCCUCUCACACUGCAAUCCCCCUGCUCCUGCUUAGGGCAGAGAAGAAACUCGCGGUGGUUUUUAUUGGAAGCACCGGAAUUACUGGACUUAAGGAAGGAUGUCUGUCCCAAGAAGGGGAGGAGCAGGGGCGGGGACAUCCCUGGCAAGGGUGACGUUUGAGGAAAAACGGCAGGCUGAUCUGGCCAAGCUGCUGGGCACCCCUGGUCUACGCGGCCCGGGAAGCAUCAGGAGCCUGGCAGAGGGGACCUGGCGGCGGGCACCUGGAUGGCAGAGGGAGGCAGAGAACAGUUCCGGGACAGCGCGCUCCCAUCUCCUGCUGUUUUGAGAGCCUGUUCCCCUGCUUCCUGCCCCAGAAAGCCCCAUGCCUUCCUCGGGAAGGUCACUCACGGGUAAGCUCAGCAUGGCUGUGACGAGGCUGGGUCCGGUGAUGCUCAGCUUGGGAGACGCCAGAGAAUGCAUCUCCUUCGCUGUUCUAAUUUUCCUCACGAGCCCGUGCCCACCGG